rnacentral:rRNA from 1 species
AUUGAACGCUGGCGGCAUGCUUUACACAUGCAAGUCGAACGGUAACAGGCCUUCGGGUGCUGACGAGUGGCGAACGGGUGAGUAAUGCAUCGGAACGUGCCCAGAGGUGGGGGAUAACGCAGCGAAAGCUGUGCUAAUACCGCAUGUGAUCUGAGGAUGAAAGCGGGGGACCAGGCAGCAAUGUUUGGCCUCGCGCCUUUGGAGCGGCCGAUGUCAGAUUAGGUAGUUGGUGGGGUAAAGGCCUACCAAGCCGACGAUCUGUAGCUGGUCUGAGAGGACGACCAGCCACACUGGGACUGAGACACGGCCCAGACUCCUACGUGAGGCAGCAGUGGGGAAUUUUGGACAAUGGGCGCAAGCCUGAUCCAGCAAUGCCGCGUGCGGGAAGAAGGCCUUCGGGUUGUAAACCGCUCUUGUACGGAACGAAAAGGCUCUGGCUAAUACCUGGGGCUGAUGACGGUACCGUAAGAAUAAGCACCGGCUAACUACGUG